UGGGGAAUCUUAGGCAAUGGGGGAAACCCUGACCUAGCCAUGCCGCGUGGAGGAAGACACCCCUAUGGGGCGUAAACUCCUUUUCUGUUGGAAGAAAACUCUGUUCUGCAGAGCGUGACGGUACAACAGGAAUAAGCACCGGCUAACUCCGUGCCAGCAGCCGCGGUAAUACGGAGGGUGCAAGCGUUGUCCGGAAUUACUGGGCGUAAAGGGUGUGUAGGUGGGAUGGCAAGUCAGGGGUGAAAGCCUACGGCUUAACCGUAGAAGUGCCCUUGAAACUGCCAUUCUUGAGUCCUGGAGAGGUCAUUGGAAUUCGUGGUGUAGCGGUGAAAUGCGUAGAUAUCACGAGGAACACCAGCGGCGUAAGCGAAUGACUGGACAGGUACUGACACUGAGGCACGAGAGCGUGGGGAGCAAACA
rnacentral:rRNA from 1 species